UUCACGUCCCAAAAUCUCCUUCCAUAGCAAUUGAUAUGUACAAAGGAUUUCCAAAUUUCCAUGUCCAACAAAAAACUCUAGCCUUCGGGUCUCCGUUUACAAAACUCAUCGACGUUGACUCAGUCCGGAUCAAACUUCAUUUCGGAUUCGACAUGGUACGUCGAGCAGAUCAAUCGAAACUCCUCCGAUUCGGUUCUGUUUUGACUCAGCUAUGCACACCUUCGCCGAAUCCUACCAUACGUCACCGGAAUCUGAUGAUAUAAAACGAAAAACAAUAACCAACCUGUAAUUCCAACCACAAUCAGACAUCAUCGGCUUUCGACAUAACCGAGAGCCGACUUGGCCUGGGCUGGAAAUCAGCACGACGCCUUUGCUGAUGCGAAGACGGCCGAAUCAACGCCGUCAAUGCUCUCUUCACCCACUCACCUUCGACGCUACCGAUUCUCACAAGUGAAUUCGUCAUCGCCGAUCGCCUCAUGUUCAGCCGGUUGGGCGUAUACGGUACAGAACCACUUCCAUUAUUAUGAACACCAGUAUUCUUGUGCAGACUACACCGAAAUGAUCCCGGAUGCGUAGUUGGAGAACACAUGCAAGUCUUCUUCGGGAGAGAGAUCGGGUUAUUCUGUUUGGUAACCGUUAUAGACCGAUUAGGAGAACUAGAUCUGCCAAUAGAAAAUCGAAAGGAAUGAGAAUUGGGACAUG
rnacentral:misc_RNA from 1 species